AUGAAUGUAUAACCUUCGUGCAAAUGGUGGCAAUACAGACUAUGCAAACGUUCGUGACGCGUUCUGGAAGAAAAUGGGGCGCUUUUCUGGUAGUUUAAGCGCCUACGCACAAACACUACUGGUAUCGUUUCCAUCCCCCACCGCAUACAGGGUACUAUUCCAAUCGUUGUAAUUGUCAUGUUGUUCCUCGACGUUAAUCAGCAAAGUGGCUGGAGAGUGAUGUUUCUCAAAAUAAACGCCGCUCCAAACGAUUACCACCACAAUGGAUACAAUACCCGAAGCUGCCGUUUUUGACAUAUUUUAAGUAUCCCAAUUGACACACAAAAAAAUUGAAAAUAAUUACUUCGUUUUCUUUUCUUUCAGAAUGCCAAAGUUAUAUUAUCUCGCAUUCCGUGGUGAACUCACUAAUAUGACUGCAUUAAGAAAAAGAAGUCGAACGAAGAAUUGGCACGUCAUUUUGAUUAUUAAGAAAGACCUUGAUUGCAUGGGGUCUCCUGUGAAGUGAUUUCCCAAGCAAAGGUUAUCUUAAAAGAACUUAGAAGAAUCACAGAAAAAUUCUUUAUCGGGAUUUAAUACAUCUCGCCCACGAACACUGCAUUUUACGUUUCUUGCUAGUAAAAAUUUAGUUAAUUCACUAUCUGCAGAUCAUUGGCAAAGGGGGAAGAUGGAAAGACUUGUAUAUACAGGACGAUUUGCGGGAGAAAGUAUAAGACCUCAGGACACGAGGAUAGAACGGUUCGAUGCCGUUGCAGCUCUCUAAAAUAUUUUUUUUCAAAUUCGGCACGUUAUUUUUCGUUUCCGUACGCCUAAUAUACGUACCCAAAAUUUGGACAAAAUCCGCCGAGACACGUAAUGGUGAUGUUUGAAAUCAGAAAAAAUCAAAUGACACAAAAAAUUCCAUAAGAAAAAACAAAAUUGAUGAUGGUUAAUCGAAAACGUCAAACUUAAAAUUUAAAACUAGCAUUUUGUAGAGGGAAAA